rnacentral:rRNA from 1 species
UACGGGGGGGGCAAGCGUUGUUCGGAAUUACUGGGCGUAAAGGGCUCGUAGGCGGCCAACUAAGUCAGACGUGAAAUCCCUCGGCUUAACCGGGGAACUGCGUCUGAUACUGGAUGGCUAGAGGUUGGGAGAGGGAUGCGGAAUUCCAGGUGUAGCGGUGAAAUGCGUAGAUAUCUGGAGGAACACCGGUGGCGAAGGCGGCAUCCUGGACCAAUUCUGACGCUGAGUGAGCGAAAGCCAGGGGAGCAAACAGG